rnacentral:rRNA from 1 species
UACGGGGGGGGCAAGCGUUGUUCGGAAUUACUGGGCGUAAAGGGUUUGUAGGUGGCCCGCUAAGUCACACGUGAAAUCCCUCAGCUUAACUGGGGAACUGCGUGUGAGACUGGCAGGCCCGAGGGCAGGAGAGGAACGCGGAAUUCCAGGUGUAGCGGUGAAAUGCGUAGAUAUCUGGAGGAACACCGGUGGCGAAGGCGGCGUUCUGGACUGUCUCUGACACUGAAGAACGAAAGCCAGGGGAGCAAACGGG